rnacentral:rRNA from 1 species
UGGGGAAUAUUGGACAAUGGGCGCAAGCCUGAUCCAGCCAUGCCGCGUGUGUGAAGAAGGCCUUAUGGUUGUAAAGCACUUUAAGCGAGGAGGAGGCUACUUUAGUUAAUACCUAGAGAUAGUGGACGUUACUCGCAGAAUAAGCACCGGCUAACUCUGUGCCAGCAGCCGCGGUAAUACAGCGGGUGCGAGCGUUAAUCGGAUUUACUGGGCGUAAAGCGUGCGUAGGCGGCUAAUUGAGUCGGAUGUGAAAUCCCCGAGCUUAACUUGGGAAUUGCAUUCGAUACUGGUUAGCUAGAGUGUGGGAGAGGAUGGUAGAAUUCCAGGUGUAACGGUGAAAUGCGUAGAGAUCUGGAGGAAUACAGAUGGCGAAGGCAGCCAUCUGGCCUAACACUGACACUGAGGUACGAAAGCAUGGGGAGCAAACAGG